CCGAGUGAGGGCCCCUGGCCCGACCUCCAACCCUUUGUCGACCAACACCUGUUGCCUCGGGGGCGACCCGGCCUCCGCGCCGGGGUCCCCGGUGGACCUUUAUAAAUCUGUAUCUGUACGUCGGAGAACUUGAUGAAUCAAUCA
rnacentral:misc_RNA from 1 species